ensembl:lncRNA
CACAGGCGGAGGGCCCGGCGCUGCCCGGCCGGGGCAUGGAGCAAACCUGAGGGCCGCCCUGGGCAGGGGGUGCUGGGAAGGUGGAAUCCGCGGGGUUCUGCCGAGAGGAACGGCUCGUGUGUUAUGCCAUCAGAUCCAACAAUUAAUGGUCUUCAAUCCAGUCUUCAGGCUGCUGAGCUCCUCCUUUUGUACAGUCCUUUUCCAGAAGCACAUCUCUGACUUAUGCAGCUUGACAAAAUCCUAAACCUGCAGUCUCCUUGUCCUCCUGUUAAAUGGCUUGCAUGCGUCUCCAUCCUCACCAUGCCUUCUCAGAGAGCACUGGUGUUGUGCAUCUCUCCAUCCCUCCGAGGUGCAUUUGGCCUUCCUUCUCUGCGAUUCCUCCCCUUCCCUUUUUCCUGACACAGACUCAAGUUUUAAAAAUCCAUUUUCCUUCUCUGAGCCACCAUUAUGCACAAAUACUUCUCUGCUCUUCUUCACAUGCCACCAAUUUCCUCCAGAACCUGUCACUCUCAUCUGGCUACUUAACUGUGUAAUGAUAUGAAAUAUUCACUCUAAUGAGCCCCUGCUGUGGAUACCACUUGAUCCUGCCUUGUUUUUGUUCUUUUUGACUCUGACCUCACUGAAUGUUCUACUUCGACUUUCCUUCUCCCAAAUUUCAAACUGCUUCCUGAAGCUACACCAUACGUGCAUAUGUACAGCUCAUACAACAUACGUCUUUUCUGCUGAUGUUUUCAGAAGGAACAAGGGCUAUCUUGAUGAGAAUUUUCAGCAAAUACCACGUGAUCAGUCUCGGACAGCUGCCAUGGAAACUUCAUCCUGAAGUUUUGCAAAGUAGAUGAAAAUAAAAUUUUGUAAUGAAAAAUGUCAGGGAACCUAAAUAGCAGACUGUUCCUUGGUGGUUAGUCCUUUGGCAAUUGGAAAGCACAGAGCUGCCAGCCCUUCAGCCUCAUGCACAGAAAUCAGCAUAUGUGGGACGAACAACCUGAUUAAAUGAAUACGAUUUAAGUUUUCAAGUGAAAGGGAAUCCAGAAGAACUACCCUAGUUGUGGCUUUAAAUACUGAACUUCUAAAUACUACCUCUGUUUUCUAUACCUUUGUGAUGCACCUACACAAACUAAUGGAAGGAUGAAAUGAUAGCACAGGGGCCUGGAGAUUGCUGCAUUCACGCUUUGUUUGCUUUGCUCAGGAUGGAAAGGCAGCAGGGUUGGGAAGAGCCAGCUACAGAGGAUGCUCUUCUGACAUGGUGGUUUGUUCGAUGGGCCUGAUCUAGAGCUAUCUCGCAUAAUUAAGAUCUGAGAAAAGACAACCUUCUGUCCCUUCCCCAUAAAUCUGUGUUUGCAUUCAAAUGGUGAGUUGGAAUAUUGGAGUAAGUCUUCUUUUUUUCUUCUCCUUUGGGAUAUGAUAAAUUUUGCAAUUGCCAGAAUAAAUACAGAUUUAUC